UUUUACAGAGGAUCAACCCGCUAAUUUUUCCGCGGAUUCCCACUUACCUGGGAACUUACCGGUGCACCACCCUGACCGCUGAAAGUUCUGGAUCCUGAGAUUGAGAGGUAUUCGGUUCCCCGUGCGGGCCACCAAGUGUCGCGACCCCCUCACCAGCAAGGAAGACACGACACAGGAUUCUUCUUUCAGCGGUUUAUUCAGGCCUUAACUGUAGUCUUCUCUCAAGCGCUCUCCUCCCCCCACGCACCCACACACAGCCUAAUAAAGCUUACUCAUGUCCAAUCCAAAGCUGCCACUCGGGGUUUUCUCAUAGGGUAUUGAGGGACAGCGCGCCAACUUUCCCUAAUAAGGAGUUGUUUACCAAGAUUCACAAUGGAGACCGGCGCCAUAUUCUAAUGGCGGCAACGGUCUACAAACAC
rnacentral:lncRNA from 1 species